UACAGAGGGUGCAAGCGUUAAUCGGAAUUACUGGGCGUAAAGCGUGCGUAGACGGUUACAUAAGUCGGGUGUGAAAGCCCCGGGCUCAACCUGGGAAUUGCAUUCGAGACUGCGUAGCUAGGGUGCGGAAGAGGGAAGCGGAAUUUCCGGUGUAGCGGUGAAAUGCGUAGAUAUCGGAAGGAACACCAGUGGCGAAAGCGGCUUCCUGGUCCAGCACCGACGUUCAGGCACGAAAGCGUGGGGAGCAAAC
rnacentral:rRNA from 2 species